AACACAAGUGUUAGAAGAAUGUGUAGAAAUGGAAACCCUACAUAAGCUACACUGACUUCUCCUGCUGCUCAGUGUAAAUCCAAUGUCUAUACUCUAACCCACAAGAGUCUGCAAUUCCUGGUCCCACUACAGCUCCAACUUCAUCUCCAGCCACCCUCUCCUUCCCUCUCUCUGCUGCAGCCCACCAGCCUCUGUGCUGUUCUUCUAACAGGCCAAGCAUGCUUUGACCCCAGGGCUUUGGCACUUGCAGUUUCCUCUGCCUGGAAUGCACACUCCAUUCAUCUGAAUGGCUUGGUCUCUUAUUUCAUUGAGUUCUCUUCUCAGAUGUCACCUUUUUAAGGAGUCUUCAUUAAUCACUCUAGUAACACAGGAUAGAACCUUCCCUCUUUCCUGGUUUUUCUCCAUCACAGUUAUAAUUCUCCAAAACAUUUUAGAUUUUGCUUUGUCUAUCUUCCUCUACUAGAAUGUACAUUCAGUUUUGCUCACUGCAGCAUCCUCCAAGCCUAGAACUGUUCCUUAAAACAGGUGACAUUUGAGCAAAGAACUCAAUGAAAUAAGGUGCUCAGUAAAUGUGAAUAAUGAAGUCCUACUGUUUAUUGAUUAUUAUACAUUGAGUGCUUUAGUUGUACUAUUUCAUUUGAUUCUUAUGACCAUAUGAGUUAGUCAUUAUUAAUUCCAUUAUACUGACGUGGAGACUGAGGCUCAGAAGGGUUAGGCAACUAGUGGAGAUCACACAGCUAAAAAAUGAUUGAUCUGAGACUUGAGCCCAGCCUGGUUGUUUCAAAAUUUCAGACCCUCGCACUACAUUGUACUCUGUCAAUCACCCACAGAGUUCACAGUUCUCACACAGCAGUCAUGCACAUGAACAGCUGAGAUCUCCUGCUGCAGGGAGUGUGGUUAUCAUUCUUCUAGAUCCACCACGACAUUAGUGCUAAGGCCAUGCUUCCCUCAGGCUGCUCUCAGCCAAGGGCUAAGCACAGUUGGUACUAGUUCAGGCCUCUUCUAGUGGCAACUUUGUCUUGAUGCUACCCAUCAGCCUGGCCAACACCUUCUGAGACCUGCACUGGGCCUGAGAUUCUUCCUAUCCCAUUCUCCUUCCUUUGUCCUUUCUCAGGGUCAGACCAGUGUUGAGGUCUGAGGCUGUCCCUGCCUUCUCCUGCCCGCUCCCUCUUUGUCCUUUAUAGAUAUCCUUCCCACAGUGAAGCUCUUGUGCCCCUAAGCCCAGCUUGGCCUCUCCUCCUUGGAUGUCCAGCUCUAAUAUACCUCAUGACACUCAGGAGUCAGCCAGCACAGCACAUGCUAAAGCUGGGCACACACAUUCCCAGGACCCAACAAUUCCAUUUCUAUACAUAUACUCAACUGAAAUGUAGACAUGUUGUUACAAAAGGACAGGACAGGCACAGUGGCUCACACCUGUAAUCUCAGCACUUUGGGAUGCCAAGGCUGGUGGAUUGCUUGAGCUAGGAGUUGAAGACUAGCCUGGGCAACAUGACGAAACCUCAUCUCUACUAAAAAAUACAAAAAUUAUCUGGGCAUGAUGGGGAGUGCCUAUGGUCCCACCUACUCAGGGGACUGAGGUGAGAGGAUCGCUUGAACCUGGGAGGCAGAGGUUGUAGUGAGCCGAGAUCACGCCACUGCACUCCAGCCUGGGUGACAAAGCAAGACCCUGUCUCAAAAAAAAAAAAAAAAAAAAAAAAA
rnacentral:lncRNA from 1 species